UCAACUGUUUCAGUAUUGCAGUGCUUGAGUUCAAGUAACGUUUAUUUUACUUUAUAAUGGCCCCAAAAUACAAGAGUAGUGAUGCCGGCAAUUUGGAUAUGCCAAAGAGAAGUUGGGAAGUGUUUCCUUUAAUAU